rnacentral:lncRNA from 1 species
GCCAAGGAGAUAAAAAUAUAAAAGAAAAGGUCCCAGCUCUUACGGAGACCAGGAGACAGUGGAGAAUCUGAAGUGGAAAAAUAAAAUAAUAACCUGAGUUCCACAACAAUACAAUAACAGCAAAGCAAGCUUUUUCAGAAACCUGCACAGGACAAGUUGCCAGAUCUCUCCUCACUUCUGCUCACUUCAUCAAGCCCCAUUCCACAAGGUGACCAGUGUUGGCUUUAGCUUUGGAUGGCUCCUUUUGGCUCACUGCUUGAUUCAAGCAUCAUCCCAGAUCUCUGCAUAGCUGUAUCUUCCUAUCCCUCAAGUUGAAGCAUUAUCGAAAGGUUUUGGUUGGUUAUUUGUAAUUGCUGGGUGGAAUUCCAAGGUUCCUCUCACCUCCUGCCCAGCCCACAUCCUCCCUAACCCCCACCACCCCAGUAGAUGGGAAAAAGAAGGUGUGAGGCUCCCUGGGAGCUUGGCUAUUGUUUGAGGGAACUGGAAGCCACCGUGCUCAGAGUGUCCAUCCUCCCUCCUCCCAGCACAUGCUGCUUCCUGUCAAUCAUCCUGGAACACCGAGUGCUGGGCCAGACAAUUUUGUCCACAGGAUGUUUGUUUGAAGGCGCUGCCUUGCCAAGUCUCAAAGCUCAAGACUUCCGCUGACAAUCCAAACACCAAAAUGAGAAAAGGGGAAAAACCUCUGGGCAGUUCUUUUAAUCCCUAAUAAGGCCUAUUUAUAUUCAAAAAUAGCAACAGGUUAUCUGAACUUGCAGAGGCUGAAGAGGCUAGGAAGCUUGAUCUUUAAAAUCCUGAGCUCCAGGGAAGUUGAAAUACAG